AGAGUUUGAUCAUGGCUCAGGAUGAACGCUAGCGGCAGGCUUAACACAUGCAAGUCGAGGGGUAACAGGGGUGCUUGCACUCGCUGACGACCGGCGCACGGGUGAGUAACGCGUAUGCAACCUACCCAUAACUGGGGGAUAGCUUCCGGAAACGGAAAUUAAUACCCCAUAGUAUUAUAAUACCGCAUGGUAUAAUAAUUAAAGUUCCGACGGUUAUGGAUGGGCAUGCGUGCCAUUAGCUAGUUGGUGAGGUAACAGCUCACCAAGGCUACGAUGGCUAGGGGGUCUUAAAGGAUGGUCCCCCACACUGGUACUGAGACACGGACCAGACUCCUACGGGAGGCAGCAGUGAGGAAUAUUGGUCAAUGGGCGCAAGCCUGAACCAGCCAUGCCGCGUGCAGGAAGACAGCCCUAUGGGUUGUAAACUGCUUUUAUAUGGGAAGAAAACGUUCUACGUGUAGGGCAUUGACGGUACCAUAAGAAUAAGCAUCGGCUAACUCCGUGCCAGCAGCCGCGGUAAUACGGAGGAUGCAAGCGUUAUCCGGAUUUAUUAGGUUUAAAGGGUGUGUAGGCGGGACUCUAAGUCAGUGGUGAAAUCUUUCGGCUCAACCGGAAAACUGCCAUUGAUACUGGAGUUCUUGAGUAUAGUUGANGUAGGCGGAAUGUGUAAUGUAGCGGUGAAAUGCUUAGAUAUUACACAGAACACCGAUUNCGAAGGCAGCUUACAAGCUAUUACUGACGCUGAUGCACGAAAGCGUGGGUAGCGAACAGGAUUAGAUACCCUGNNAGUCCACGCCGUAAACGANGUUCACUCGC
rnacentral:rRNA from 1 species